UACGGGGGGGGCAAGCGUUGUUCGGAAUUACUGGGCGUAAAGAGCUCGUAGGUGGUUUGGUAAGUCGGAUGUGAAAUCUCCAGGCUCAACCUGGAGGGGUCGUUCGAUACUGCCAUGACUAGAGGUCGGUAGGGGAGUGUGGAAUUCCUGGUGGAGCGGUGAAAUGCGUAGAUAUCUGGAGGAACACCGGUGGCGAAGGCGGCAUCCUGGACCGAGAUUGACGCUGAGGCGCGAAAGCCAGGGGAGCAAACGGG
rnacentral:rRNA from 1 species